GUCCUUGAGGAUUUCUUUCUUCCAAGAGGGGUUCUUUGGAUGAGACAAUGAACCCUCGAAGGGCACUUUCUUCAAAGAGAGUUCUUCUGAGGCAAAGCUGAUGGUCAGCUGUCGGCAAAGUUGGGCCAUUGGUACACUAGGCGGGACUGUCGGUUACCGUUUGAAAGCACUGAUGUCCUUGCUUAUAGACUCCCUGCUAGUAGAAGCAACGCUGAAGGACUGUCGCUGGAGCCGCUCUUUUCCCGGUGAAUGCACUUCACAGAAACCCGACUGCCAACCAGUGUUUUGGAGGUGUAACUGCAGAAGGACACAGACACACCACGGAACAAGUAUAAAUGCUCACAACAGCAUAGGCCACAUGCGUAGGCUACGGUGUAGGCUCUGCAUAGAGCUGAUGCACAUGUAUAAAUCCUGCCUAACAGUUAGCUCUGUCGCCAGUAAGUGUACAGCACAAUAAACCUCCUGCCAGUUCAAAAUAACAACACGUUUUAUUUUUGCAAACAGAAAUUGUGUACGUUUUUAUUUGCAUACAGAGCGGGGAAGUGAAAUAUGGUUAGUGGUCAUGUGGUCAAUCAAGACACAUGUGGAGACGUAUUUUAAUACCAGGUGUGAUCAGACAGAGUUGGAGCUUUCCACAUGCGAUCAGAUCACCCAAGAUGCAUGGCACAUGCUGCUUACAGUCACUUACACUUUUUAUAAAGCCCCUGACUGCACCUGAGUGCUGUGGAGCUACACGCCCAUAAACGUCCCGAGCACAGAGAUUAAGAAGUAAAUAUGUAAGUACAGGCAGAGGGCAAGGUCUCUGCAGAAAACACACUGCCACACUCUUCUAGUGGGUCAUAAGGGAUUAUUGAGAGGGAUUACCUCUGUAUGAGCCUAUACAUAGUUUUUUAGGACAAUCCUGCAUUGUAAAUCUUUAAAUUGUUUUGUGCAUUUUCAUAUUUUCUGUCUUUAUACUGUCGGCUGCUGCAGUGAUCCAGUGUCUCUUUCAUACUAUAUCACUUUCUGAAUCUGAUAGAGUUUCACUGGACCGAUAUAAGGACAGAGCGUACGAGCACAAGCUUUUCUUCUGUUAGGACAUGCAUGUGAUUCGCGUGCCUCAUUAGGAAAUGGAAAAUUACACAGAAAGCGGACUUGUGGGGGUGUAUAGGUCAUCCUUUGUUUUGUGUGUUAAAGAAGGGACAAUCCCUGCAGAUAAAUCAGCAGGAGGGUUUCGGGGGAGGGGAGCACUUCUCCUUGUGAGUUUAGCGUCACAAGGGUUCUGGCAUCUGGCCAUUCACCCUGCCAACUAUUCAAGUCAUGGAAGUGUGGACUGUUUGAACUCUGCUGAAACUGAGCAGAGCUGUGUGUGACUGGAACAGUUUGUGAACUAAAAUGUCAAAAGCUUGGUUGAUUAUAAAUUCUCCAUUUGUUUUCAUCCCAGGAGUAAUGCACGAGAGCGAAUUAAGAAUCUUUAAGGCAGAAAUGUAGCACAAAAAAGCUUCUUAGCAAUGCUGGAUGCUUGUACAAGCGAGAGUUAACUCAUGCAAAGAAAUGAAAUGCAGAAAGUAGGUCAGGUAUGGCACCACCUUUCUCCACUUGGCCAUUAUAAUCCUUAAUGCCUUAAUUGUGGAAAUUACUGUGGUUUACAAAUUACUGAGCAGAUGUCUGUUGUUUACUCCACAUUCACAGCGUUGUUACUUGGAGAAACAGGCUGUAAACAUUUCAGACACGAUCUUUGUUUCCUAUAAAACUAUUUACCCUGCUACACUGCAAAAUAAACAACAUGCUCCUCUGCUCUGACUAUGCUGCUGUCUGGCAGAAACAAAGGCAGACAACUGUGCCUGCGCUGCAGCAGUACAGUCAAAACUGUGUCACUGUGUCAUACGUAAUAGCGUAACCAAUCAUGGCGCAGGUAAGCCUGAGUAGCUGAAGGGGGAUCUCGCAUUAGCCCAAUCACACCAGAGAGCUCGGCCAAUCAGGAGACCUCUAGCUGUGGCACAACAUCUGUCCGUGUAAAAACACCAAACCGUGUGAGUGUGUGACCGCACCGAGUAAACAUGCAGCAGCUUGUUAUUCUCUGCCGCUACAGACAGCGCCGUUUAGGCACAUGUGUUCCAAGAGCUCGUGUGAGCACGUGUGAUCAGCUUCCUCCUGAGUGUAAAUGCAUGUGGGAGUGACUGUUUCGUGCAUGUGUGGGAGAGGGAUCUGCAAGAAAGGCUGUUCUCAGAAAACAAGAUGAGGUUAUUGAUGAAAUCACAUAAUCAGCAACAUGUGUGUCACUGUUAUUUAAAAUCAUUCAAACCCCCUUCAGAUAAUGUUCAAACUCAUCCCACUGUCUCUGUCUGUCCUUAAUAGGAUUAUUCAUGCUUCUUGCCAAGAAAUGAGCCCUGAGACAACUUUGUCCUCCGCUGACAUUUCCUCUCCAUAUCUUGCAGUUUCCUUAUGCAGUAUUUUGCACAGAACAACACGCACACUUUUCCUUUCUGAGCUGCUUUGCACAUUUCAUCAUCCCUUCAUCCUUUUGCUGCUUUAAUGCAGAGUUCCCUUUCUGCGUUGCACGCUGUAGACGGAAGAGCCAGUACUGGUUUGAACUAGUAUGAUGUGUUACACAACAACAGAGCACAAGUGAGGAGAAUCUCACUGUACAUGCACUGCCACGAUGAUAGAUGCUCCGUGCAUGUGAUGUGUCUCUUGCAGGUCCAUGUGCUGUUAUUACUUCAGAUCAGCGAAACAUCAGUCAUUAUUUUUAUAGCUUGUAAAAACUGUAAAAAGUUGGAGGGUAUUUGCACAGCCCGGCGCCACAGUGUGAGUGCAUGCAAACUGACUAGCAUCUUAACGUUGUCUUUAGCCAGGGGGGUUUAUUGUGCAGCUCCAUUUAUGAGAUCCCAUUUCAUGUGUUUUUCCCCCUCCUUACAUAACGUGUUUUUUUUUCUUCUCCCACUCCACACAAGAACCACCACGAUCCAGCCUGUACAUUCCGGUGGUUGUCAUAGCAACAGGGCAGCAUCCCUCUCCAUCCUUUGUCCAGUGUCUCCCCAUCGUUUGAGCUUCCCAGGCGGAGGGCGGUUUGGAUUCUGCAUGCAAAUCGAAGCCCCCUAAUUGAGCUUCGGAGCGAGGAAGUGGAAGGAAGCUGAGACGGUGACUGAAUGCUAUUAGGUGCUUUUCACAGAUUGUGGCGAGGUGAUAAACUCCCCACAUCCUGUGACAGCAUUUAACACUCUAGUAUUGAAUAAGAGCAGAUCCAUACGGUGUUCUGUCGAGCACAUAAAUGGUUAGAGGAGGUGAUUGAGGUUAGUGGCCUUUUGGUAAUGUUGAAGAUAUCCACAUGGUCAAAGGGAUAAAAAAAAUUGGCACAGGUGGGAUGGCUGGGUAGGUUGGGAAAAGAACAUUGUGUCCCUGUUUGCCUCUGGGAAUGUAGGAAGUUUCACUGGGUGUAAUGGGCUGCAAUGCAGUGUGUGGGCCAGUUUAAUUUCCCUGCAAUUGUGUGCAGCAGUCAGUGGAUGGAGGUUUGGAUUUCACUCUGUUUUGUUUUUGUUUUGGUGCAUGGUAAGAAUUAGUGCAUGUGUGUGGGAGGGUGCUGAACUGCAUUUUCUCCACUACUCUGCUGCACCACCCAACAGCUUCUGCAUGAAUGUAGGCAGAAAUAAAAGAAUGGAUAGAGAGUAUUUCCCUGUUGUAGUUGCUGAUUGACUUGGAAUUCUCUUUAUUCUGUGUAAAGUAUUAAAACCUUGCUGUUUGCUGAUACUUUUUAAGCUGUGAAACUUUUUACUUGAAAACCUGACAGAAAUUCUAGGAAGCUGCAAAGGCAGACUCAAAACAAAGCUAAAGAGGUGAUGGGGUUUCAGAUUCAGCCGAGAAAAAAAAACACCAAAACAAAGUUUGAGUACAUUUGUUGGCUCCAGGCCAGCUGACUUCCCCUGAAACACGAAUGAACCUGCCCUCGACUUUAUGAUUGGUUAACUUGUUCCUGGCAAAGCCAGUCACUGAGCAGACUCACAUGCUGUUGUGAGGGCCAGCGGGAUGUAGGGGAAAGGUCUCGGAGCAAACUUUUGUUGCCCUUCCCCCGAGUCGGGAGAGGACAUUAGAAGUAAAUGUUUAUGUCCUGUGAAAUGAGGAUGUUGUGUGGUUCCUGCGAAGACGUUUGGUUGAAGUGUCUCUCUGUUCAGUCGCUGAAGAAACAAAGAACUUCUUCACUUUAUGUUUAUAUCCAUAAAAGGUCUGACUCCAAAGUUUUUCCCGAGGACAGCUUAGACUAAAAUACUGCUGAAUAGGCAGAUAUAUGUUCUCAACAGGCUGCAAAGCUCAGUCACAGACGUCAUGUGCAGGCACUAUAAAUAUGCUGAGUUAGUUAGAAAACAGUUACACUUUGUCUGUAUUUGGAUUUUAAUGUCAAAAAUGCAACUAAGAAAUAUAUCCUUCCCUUUUGGUAGAAAUUCACUCAACAUCCAGAAGUCCCACACAGCUGAACUAAGUUGUACCCUAGUAAAGUGUAUUUCUGCCGUGCCAGCCUGCUUGUCUGGUUUGGUUUUUUAGUUAAUAACAGGAUCCAAACCAGUUGAGUUCCCAGCCACAACAGCCAGGUGCUGUGUAGUUUAUGACACAGCACUUCUGGGAAUACUGUCUACAGGCUGUUGUUGCAGUCAAGGAAUAUAAUAACUGUCUCGUGAGUACACCAGUUUCCAGUUACUUCCCACAGGCUCCUAAAAACCCGCCAGAACAAAGCUGCCGUUGAGCUGCUGCCAAGAUAUCAGCCAGACUGAAACAUCAGAACAUUUGGCAAAAGCAAACACGGCCGGAGAGCCUCUACUAGAGUUACCUUUAGGUGCAUUUCAAUUCACUUUACUUUUUUUUUUUUAUAAAUGUUUACUGCUGUCAGUAAAAGUCACCAACUGUUUUAACAGCUUUUACAAAUGUGAUCGUUUAUAUUUUAGACUGGACAGCAGCUUGAACUGUUCCUGCGGCCAACUAGGAAGUCCUGUUGAUGAAUUAAUUAUAGUGUUCACAAGAGUCUUCAGACGAAGUAGUUGUGGAAAUUAGCACCAUUUUUAUGGGAUGUCUGCUCCAUCAUUAUCAAUUAAUGUGUUGAGACAGCUUUGAGCUCCAGACUCCUGAGUGUUGAUCUCAAUUUCUAUGAAUCACCCAGUCUUUCAGUUAGCUUAACUUUGCCUAGAGACUAGAAGCAAAGGGAAACAGCUUGCCUGGCUCUGCCUAAAGGUAACAAAACUGGUUUACCGGCAUGUUCAGCAAACUUUAAGGUGCCGUUUUCCCUCUUUAUGCCAAACUAAGCUAACUGGCUGCCAGCUGUAGUGUAAUUUAUCGCUCAGAGUGGUAUCGAUAUUUUCUAACUCUUGGCAAGAAAGCAAAUAAGCCCAUUUCCCAAAAGUACACCUUUUAAGUCUUGAAGUCAAGAGUCGUACAGCCAUGUUGUGAUAAAAAUAAAAGUUUUAAAUGUAUCAAUAAAAAACACUUGGUCCAGUAAACGUGAUGUUUUACCAAAUCAGGUGCAUUACAAUAUCGCAGUUAACAAAAGGAUAAAACUCCUUGAGGAAAUCUACAAAUGGCAUUAUGGACAAAUCCACCACAUUUGAACAACAAACGUCUGGGUACAGACAUCUACAAAGUGUACCAUACAAGUUGACCCAGUGUGUCAAAAUCUGGAGACAUCAAACAUUUGCCAUUUAAAAAAUAGACACUUCAUAAAAUCAAAGAAUUAGUAACAUUGAAGACUGGAUACUUGAAAAGGCAGGUCAACAUAUAUUAACAGUACAUGAACUAGUCAAGAUUUAUUAAGUUACACAUGCUGUCCAGCCUUAGCAGCUCUACUCUUCAGUGUCCAUGUGUGCUUUUAGUUCAUUUUAGUCAACAACAGACAGAAAGGGAAAGAGAUGACAUGGGCUAUAAAACAGUGUUACAAAAGCAGAUCCCUUCUAAAGAUGAGGGGAAAGACGUACCCUGCCAUUACCAGCGUAUAACUACCAAGGAUAUCAUUACCUUGUCAUGUUUUUAAGUUGACCAGCCAACUUUAAGCCAUUAAAAUGCAGGUUAAAAUCAUCUCAAUGGGAGAGACAGAAAAAAAAAAACAAAAAAAAAACACA